rnacentral:rRNA from 1 species
UUUUAUGAGAGUUUGAUCCUGGCUCAGGACGAACGCUGGCGGCGUGCCUAAUACAUGCAAGUAGAACGCUGAAGUCUGGUGCUUGCACUAGACGGAUGAGUUGCGAACGGGUGAGUAACGCGUAGGUAACCUGCCUCAUAGCGGGGGAUAACUAUUGGAAACGAUAGCUAAUACCGCAUAACAGUAUUUACCGCAUGGUAGAUAUUUGAAAGGAGCAAUUGCUUCACUAUGAGAUGGACCUGCGUUGUAUUAGCUAGUUGGUGAGGUAACGGCUCACCAAGGCUUCGAUACAUAGCCGACCUGAGAGGGUGAUCGGCCACACUGGGACUGAGACACGGCCCAGACUCCUACGGGAGGCAGCAGUAGGGAAUCUUCGGCAAUGGGGGCAACCCUGACCGAGCAACGCCGCGUGAGUGAAGAAGGUUUUCGGAUCGUAAAGCUCUGUUGUAAGAGAAGAACUGUGAGAAGAGUGGAAAGUUUCUCACUUGACGGUAUCUUACCAGAAAGGGACGGCUAACUACGUGCCAGCAGCCGCGGUAAUACGUAGGUCCCGAGCGUUGUCCGGAUUUAUUGGGCGUAAAGCGAGCGCAGGCGGUUUGAUAAGUCUGAAGUAAAAGGCUGUGGCUUAACCAUAGUACGCUUUGGAAACUGUCAAACUUGAGUGCAGAAGGGGAGAGUGGAAUUCCAUGUGUAGCGGUGAAAUGCGUAGAUAUAUGGAGGAACACCGGUGGCGAAAGCGGCUCUCUGGUCUGUAACUGACGCUGAGGCUCGAAAGCGUGGGGAGCGAACAGGAUUAGAUACCCUGGUAGUCCACGCCGUAAACGAUGAGUGCUAGGUGUUGGGUCCUUUCCGGGACUCAGU